rnacentral:rRNA from 1 species
GGGGGAUAACUACUGGAAACGGUAGCUAAUACCGCAUAACGUCGCAAGACCAAAGAGGGGGACCUUCGGGCCUCUUGCCAUCGGAUGUGCCCAGAUGGGAUUAGCUAGUAGGUGGGGUAACGGCUCACCUAGGCGACGAUCCCUAGCUGGUCUGAGAGGAUGACCAGCCACACUGGAACUGAGACACGGUCCAGACUCCUACGGGAGGCAGCAGUGGGGAAUAUUGCACAAUGGGCGCAAGCCUGAUGCAGCCAUGCCGCGUGUAUGAAGAAGGCCUUCGGGUUGUAAAG